rnacentral:lncRNA from 1 species
AUGCGCGUGCCGCCGGCUCGGCCCCACCGCAGCCUCCCGCCGGUCGACGGGGGCGCCGGUCUGCACCCCAGACCCCAGCAGCGCCCGGCCGCCCCACAGCCCCGCCGGGUCCGGGGGGCAGCGCUCGGGCGGCAGCACCCGCGUCCCCAGCGCCCCGGGCCCCCGCGCCGGCCCGCGCGCCCCCGGGCUGCGGCCGGGGCGCCCCGCUUACCUGGCCCGGGCGCGGGGGCGCAGGUCCCGGCCGCCCCGCCCGCCGCCGGCUCCGUCCGCGAGGCCGAGCGCGGGGCCGCCGCCGCAGCUCUUUGUGAGCCCGCGCCGAGCCGCACACCGAGACUGCUAAUGAGCCCGGGAAGCUGGAUAGCGGCGGGCGCGCCCCGGACGCGGCGUACGGCACGCAGGGCCGCCUCUGCCGGGCGCACGCGGCGCGGCGCAGGGCGCACCCCGCACCGGCCUGCCGCGGCCGCCCAGCGCCCCCGCCCCGGCCUCUCUCGCCGCGCCCCCGGGACGCGGGGGCUCGGAGACGCUCGCCGCCAAGAGCGCGCGGCGGGAAGAAAGGGAGGACAAAGAUGCAUUCGGGCCCGCCCCCUCCCCCUCCCGAGCCCGGCGCCGGGACAGUCGGCGGGGCGGACGGGCGCACCUGGGGCCCGGGUCCUGCGGGGCCGGUCUCGGGGACACGGGCCGGUGCCCAGGUUCUGGAAGCCACGGUGCCCCAACCGCCGGGGCUCUGGGGCGCACACAGAUUCCCGGCUGCGCCCCGGACCUGCCAAAUCAGGAGCCGUAUGGGGUCUGGUCCUCCGGCGGGUAGAACAGGUGACCGCGAGGCACCACUGCGCCCACCCCCUGCCCCGGGCGCCGCGCUGCCCUCUGGUGGGCUCGGGAGUGCGUGCGGCGUGGAGGGGCCUCUGCGACCGCGCCCUGCUCGGUCCCGCGCGGCGAUAUGUGGGGCCCCAGGCGAGAAGCCCUCGGGGGUCGCACCCUAGGAAAGCCUCAUCUGGGAGGGGAGGCCCCCUGCUGCCGUCUCCACCGCAGAUCCCCCAGUCGCGGGCUGCCUCCAGGUCCUCUGUCCCAGUCUCUGGUAACCACCCCAUUUCUAAUACCUUGUGCUGCCUUAGCCCUCUCCUACCCCAGGGCCUCAUGCAGCCCUUUCUCUCUUUGCUGUCCUGA